rnacentral:lncRNA from 1 species
AGAAUUUGAAAAUACUAAUUCUAAUUUAUUUAAAUUAGAACGACAAACAUGCAAUCAAAUUUGUCUAACAAAAAUAACAUUCGAUAUCUUUCUAUUUUAAGCAAAAUAAUAAUUAAACUACAUACAUAAGUGUGCUAGUCUCGAACAGCAGUGCAGCGCAACGACAUGAUAAAAUUCCAGUAACAAGCUAUCAUGGGUAGA